CAAGUCGAACGAUGAACCACUUCGGUGGGGAUUAGUGGCGAACGGGUGAGUAACACGUGGGCAAUCUGCCCUUCACUCUGGGACAAGCCCUGGAAACGGGGUCUAAUACCGGAUAUCACUCCCGCAGGCAUCUGUGGGGGUCGAAAGCUCCGGCGGUGAAGGAUGAGCCCGCGGCCUAUCAGCUUGUUGGUGAGGUAAUGGCUCACCAAGGCGACGACGGGUAGCCGGCCUGAGAGGGCGACCGGCCACACUGGGACUGAGACACGGCCCAGACUCCUACGGGAGGCAGCAGUGGGGAAUAUUGCACAAUGGGCGAAAGCCUGAUGCAGCGACGCCGCGUGAGGGAUGACGGCCUUCGGGUUGUAAACCUCUUUCAGCAGGGAAGAAGCGAAAGUGACGGUACCUGCAGAAGAAGCGCCGGCUAACUACGUGCCAGCAGCCGCGGUAAUACGUAGGGCGCAAGCGUUGUCCGGAAUUAUUGGGCGUAAAGAGCUCGUAGGCGGCUUGUCACGUCGGGUGUGAAAGCCCGGGGCUUAACCCCGGGUCUGCAUUCGAUACGGGCAGGCUAGAGUGUGGUAGGGGAGAUCGGAAUUCCUGGUGUAGCGGUGAAAUGCGCAGAUAUCAGGAGGAACACCGGUGGCGAAGGCGGAUCUCUGGGCCAUUACUGACGCUGAGGAGCGAAAGCGUGGGGAGCGAACAGGAUUAGAUACCCUGGUAGUCCACGCCGUAAACGGUGGGAACUAGGUGUUGGCGACAUUCCACGUCGUCGGUGCCGCAGCUAACGCAU
rnacentral:rRNA from 1 species